rnacentral:rRNA from 1 species
AACGAACGCUGGCGGCAUGCCUAACACAUGCAAGUCGAACGAAGGCUUCGGCCUUAGUGGCGCACGGGUGCGUAACGCGUGGGAACCUGCCCCUUGGUUCGGAAUAACACAGAGAAAUUUGUGCUAAUACCGGAUGAUGACUUCGGUCCAAAGAUUUAUCGCCGAGGGAUGGGCCCGCGUAGGAUUAGGUAGUUGGUGGGGUAAUGGCCUACCAAGCCGACGAUCCUUAGCUGGUCUGAGAGGAUGAUCAGCCACACUGGGACUGAGACACGGCCCGAACUCCUACGGGAGGCAGCAGUUGGGAAUUUUGCGCAAUGGACGAAAGUCUGACGCAGCGACGCCGCGUGGAGGAUGAAGGCCUUCGGGUUGUAAACUCCUUUUACUAGGGAGUAACUUGUGAAAGUACCUAGUGAAUAAGCACCGGCUAACUCCGUGCCAGCCGCCGCAGUAA